AUUGAACGCUGGCGGCAGGCCUAACACAUGCAAGUCGAGCGAGCGGCGGACGGGUGAGUAAUGUAUGGGGACUGCCCGAUAGAGGGGGAUAACUACUGGAAACGGUAGCUAAUACCGCAUACUAUCGGAUAACCCAUAUGGGAUGAGCUAGUAGGUGAGGUAAUGGCUCACCUAGGCGACGAGCCCUAGCUGGUCUUAGAGGAUGCUCAGCCCAACUGGGACUGAGACACGUCCCAGACUCCUACGGGGGCAGCAGUGGGAAAUAUUGCACACGGGGCGCAAGCCUGAUGCAGCCAGGCCGCGUGUAUGAAGAAGGCCUUCGGGUUGUAAAGUACUUUCAGUCGGGAGGCGUUACCGACAGAAGAAGCACCGGCUAACUCCGUGCCAGCAGCCGCGGUAAUUC
rnacentral:rRNA from 1 species